CACAAUCCGUCAAUGAAGUAAAAUGAAAAAAGGAAAAGAUAUACAGGGACCUUGGGGCGAACUAUUCUAUACUGAUAAGAUAUUUCAAGUGUUAGCUGCAUGCGUUUUAACUUUAUUUGCAAUCAUUAAUAUUGUAUAUCUGAUAGGCCGUUGUCCGUGGUUGACACUGAACUAUGUAUUCUAUGCUAUGCUUAUAGCCUUUGGAUAUUAUAUCGGUUACGCAAGGUGCAAAUCUAAUAUUAGGAAAAGCCAGAAUACCUUAAAAGAAAUGAUAUGUGAGUAGAAUAUUAAGAAAGUUUGAUACAAAUAAAAACAGCUGCAGUCUACAAACAGUGCAUGAUUAGCUCUGGACGUUCACAAUCUGAAAGAAUUCAAAAUAAUAUUUUAUAUUCAGAUAUUUCAGGUUGACUUCAUAUCAAUGUGACACUUAAUUUUAAUAUUCUCAAUUAUCCGAC
rnacentral:lncRNA from 1 species